rnacentral:lncRNA from 1 species
GAACUUGAACACAUUCAUGAUCUUAGAUUUUGUCACCCUGUUAAGGAGCAGGAUUUCCUUCUAUGUAAGAUAAUUAGACUUUAAAAUUUUGGUUCAAACCAGAAUUGUUGCUAUAGAAAUACAUUGAAAAUUUAAGUAAAAUGAAGUGGCAAACUUCCUUUUUCCUCUCAUCCUUUCUGCCUACCCCCAUAUUUCAUCUCUGAAU